rnacentral:rRNA from 1 species
AUGAGGGAGACUGAUAUAUCCAGAAUCAUUAAGAUACUUGCCAUUAUACAUCCCCUAUGCAAAUCCCUUGCUGUGCGUGGUGGUUAUGCUGACGUCUCUCUUGAUGAACGUUGUGCUGCUGGUUUCAGUAUGAUGAUACUGCCUGCAAGAAGGCUGCUCAAUUUUAUUUAUCCAUCUCUGUACAGGCUUGAUGAAGUAUUGACAGUGGAACCAGAUAUGAUUGACGGGCCCUGA